CUUAUUCAAAAUAGCAAGUAUGCAAUCUUUGUGACACAUCACCAAACUUGCAAAAAGAAUAAGAACAAGAAUGAGCAAAGGAUAAGCUCAUCACCAAGGGCCUUUUAAAGGCAACAAUAGAUUUCCACACCCUCCAAACCGAGACUAGGAGGCAGCCAAGAGGGGGCAGCCCCAAGGCUUGCAUCAAAUAGGUAAGAAUAGAUUCCCUUAAUCAAUAAGCUCAAAAGGGGAUGAGCUUGGAGCUAAAAAUGGGAGCUCCAAUGCCCCAAAUCCUGCCACAAGAGGCCAAGGGAUGGCCUAUAAAUACCACCGUCACCCCCCUCCCCUCCACACUUUCUCUCGGCCCCAAGGCUCUCGGAUAACAGAGGCGACGGAGGGAGGAACGGGCGGCGCAAGGAAGUGGCAACACAGAGACGAUCACAAGCCACAGAGGGUGCACCGAGUGAGGUUGAACGUCAAGAGGAAGAAAUAUUGAUCGGAGUCGAUGCUAUUAAAUAAUCAAGUGGAUUUCUCUACGAUUCGUGUCUUCAUACACGAAGUCGUUUAGUAAGGACCUAUUCCCAUGUACUUUUGUCAAGUGAGAAUUUUGAAGUCUCACCUGCGAACUCUGAUUAGGUUGAUAUGAUGAAUUAUUCUAUUUUGAGAUCUUGUAAUCAAAUACUUGGCUUCUAAUUUGUGGUAUCAAUUGAUUGGCCUGUCAGCAA